rnacentral:rRNA from 1 species
AUGCAUGUCUAAGUAUAAGCAAUUAUACCGUGAAACUGCGAAUGGCUCAUUAAAUCAGUUAUCGUUUAUUUGAUAGUACCUUACUACUUGGAUAACCGUGGUAAUUCUAGAGCUAAUACAUGCUGAAAACCCCGACUUCGGGAGGGGUGUAUUUAUUAGAUAAAAAACCAACGCCCUUCGGGGCUUCUUGGUGAUUCAUGAUAACUUCACGGAUCGCAUGGCCUUGCGCCGGCGACGGUUCAUUCAAAUUUCUGCCCUAUCAACUUUCGAUGGUAAGGUAUUGGCUUACCAUGGUUUCAACGGGUAACGGGGAAUUAGGGUUCGAUUCCGGAGAGGGAGCCUGAGAAACGGCUACCACAUCCAAGGAAGGCAGCAGGCGCGCAAAUUACCCAAUCCCGACACGGGGAGGUAGUGACAAUAA